UGGGGAAUAUUGCACAAUGGGCGAAAGCCUGAUGCAGCAACGCCGCGUGAGUGAUGAAGGCCUUCGGGUUGUAAAGCUCUGUCUUUUGGGACGAUAAUGACGGUACCAAAGGAGGAAGCCACGGCUAACUACGUGCCAGCAGCCGCGGUAAUACGUAGGUGGCAAGCGUUGUCCGGAUUUACUGGGCGUAAAGGAUGCGUAGGCGGAUUUUUAAGUGAGAUGUGAAAUACCCGGGCUUAGCUUGGGUGCUGCAUUUCAAACUGGGAAUCUAGAGUGCGGGAGAGGAGAAUGGAAUUCCUAGUGUAGCGGUGAAAUGCGUAGAGAUUAGGAAGAACACCAGUGGCGAAGGCGAUUCUCUGGACCGUAACUGACGCUGAGGCAUGAAAGCGUGGGUAGCAAACAGGAUUAGAUACCCUGGUAGUCCACGCCGUAAACGAUGAGUACUAGGUGUAGGAGGUAUCGACCCCUUCUGUGCCGCAGUUAACACAAUAAGUACUCCGCCUGGGAAGUACGAUCGCAAGAUUAAAACUUAAAGGAAUUGACGGGGUCAUAGCUGUUUCCU
rnacentral:rRNA from 1 species